rnacentral:rRNA from 1 species
GGAAACCCUGACGCAGCGACGCCGCGUGCGGGAAGAAGGCCUUCGGGUCGUAAACCGCUGUCAGGAGGGAAGAAACUGUUGGAGUCGAAUAGGCUCUUUCACUGACGGUACCUCCAGAGGAAGCACCGGCUAACUCCGUGCCAGCAGCCGCGGUAAUACGGAGGGUGCGAGCGUUAAUCGGAAUCACUGGGCGUAAAGCGUACGUAGGUGGCAAAGUCAGUCAGGCGUGAAAGCCCUCGGCUCAACCGAGGAAUUGCGUUUGAUACUGCUUUGCUAGAGUCUCGGAGAGGUUGGCGGAAUUCCAGGUGUAGGAGUGAAAUCCGUAGAUAUCUGGAGGAACACCAGUGGCGAAGGCGGCCAACUGGACGAGUACUGACACUGAGGUACGAAAGCGUGGGUAGCAAACAGGAUUAGAUACCCUGGUAGUCC